UGAAUACGAGAUGCUACGGCGUCGAAGCAGUCUAUGUCAUACUUCCAAGAAAAGCUUGCACUGUCAUAAACAAAUAAUGCCUGUACCAUAACCGACACAGGUGGGUAGGUAGAGUAUACUAAGGGGCGCGAGAUAACUCUCUCUAAGGAACUCGGCAAAAUGACUCCGUAACUUCGGGAGAAGGAGUGCCUUAUUUAUAAGGUUGCAAUGACAAGAUCCAAGCAACUGUUUACCAAAGACACAGGUCUCCGCUAAGUCGUAAGACGAUGUAUGGGGGCUGACGCCUGCCCAGUGCCAGAAGGUUAAAGAAGUUGGUUAGCAUCCGCGAAGCUGAUAACUGAAGCCCUGGUGAACGGCGGCCGUAACGAUAACGGUUCUAAGGUAGCGAAAUUCCUUGUCGGGUAAGUUCCGACCCGCACGAAAGGCGUAAUGAUUUGGAUACUGUCUCGGAGAGGGGCUCGGUGAAAUAGACUUGUCUGUGAAGAUGCGGACUACCUGCACCAGGACAGAAAGACCCUAUGAAGCUUUACUGUAACCUGAAAUUGAAAUUGGACUUUACUUGCGCAGUAUAGGUGGGAGGCGUUGAGAAUAUUCUUGCGGGAUUAUUGGAGCCAUCAGUGAGAUACCACUCUUGUAAUGUUAGAUUUCUAACUUUGUAUCAUUAUCUGGUCAAAGAACAGUUUCAGGCGGGCAGUUUGACUGGGGCGGUCGCCUCCUAAACGGUAACGGAGGCGCACAAAGGUUUCCUCUGAACGGGUAGAAAUCGUAUCUAGAGUGUAAAGGCAUAAGGAAGCUUGACUGUGAGACCUACAAGUCGAGCAGGGACGAAAGUCGGUCUUAGUGAUCUGACGGUGCUGAGUGGAAAGGCCGUCACUCAACGGAUAAAAGUUACUCUAGGAUAACAGGCUGAUCUCCCCCAAGAGUUCACAUCGACGGGGAGGUUUGGCACCUCGAUGUCGUCUCAUCGCAUCCUGGGGCGGUAGUACGUCCCAAGGGUUGGGCUGUUCGCCCAUGAAAGCGGUACGCGAGCUGGGUUCAGAACGUCGUGAGACAGUUCGGUCCAUAUCCGGUGUAGGCGUUAGAAUAUUGAGAGGAGCCUUCUUUAGUACGAGAGGACCGAGAAGGACAUACCUCUGGUGUACCAGUUAUCGUGCCAACGGUAAACGCUGGGUAGCCAUGUGUGGAGUGGAUAACCGCUGAAAGCAUCUAAGUGGGAAGCCCACCUCAAGAUAAG
rnacentral:rRNA from 1 species